rnacentral:rRNA from 1 species
UACGUAGGGUGCAAGCGUUGUCCGGAAUUAUUGGGCGUAAAGAGCGUGUAGGCGGUUCGAUCAGUCCGCUGUGAAAGUCCAGGGCUCAACCCUGGGAAGCCGGUGGAUACUGUCGGACUAGAGUCCGGAAGAGGCGAGUGGAAUUCCUGGUGUAGCGGUGAAAUGCGCAGAUAUCAGGAGGAACACCAAUGGCGAAGGCAGCUCGCUGGGACGGUACUGACGCUGAGACGCGAAAGCGUGGGGAGCAAACAGG